rnacentral:tRNA from 1 species
GGUCCCGUAGCUCAGUUGGAUAGAGCGACAGCCUUCUAAGCUGUAGGUCCCUGGUUCGAAUCCAGGCGGGAUCGCCA